rnacentral:tRNA from 1 species
GAGACUUUAUUAUAAUAGAGUAUAAUUUAUUUUCAAUAAAUAGGUUUAAGAGUCUUA